GCGGGGUAACGGCGAGGGCCUGCUCUAGAGCUGCCCUCGGCGGGGAGUCCUCCGACGCAGCCAGCACUUUGCCCCUCCCCUAGCCCCCCGGAGCACACCUGAACCCCACAGGUGGCUGCAGAAAAAAAGAAGAGCUGCCCCGUGUUUCCGCCGGAGGAUUAAAGGAUUAGGAGGGGCUCUGCGGGUCAUUUUAUCCCCCCCCCUCCCCCGUGAAAACCUGGGGUUCCGUGCGGAGGCCUCGGGGUUUCACCCUGAAUGGUCAUAGAGAAUCCUGUGCUUUAUUAGGAAUAGAGAGUAGGGCCGGGGGCAGAGGAACGGAAUUCCAACGGGCCGCCCGUGUCCUAGGCGCGGCGUCACUUAGGUAGCCCCCCUUGCCCAGCCAUUGCUCUUCUGCCCGGGAACCCCCAUAGACCCAAGGUAGGGGCUGUUUGUCCGUUCGUGUGUUUAAAGAGCGCCGGGACCGAGCAAGCGCGGUGCAGAGGCCCCCCCUCCUGAGGAGUAGCAUCCUCUCCGCUCCGAGGCCCGAGAACGCGGAAGGAGGAGGUGGCGGCUUUAGACCAGGGUAGAAAGUCAGCCCGAACGGGAUCCCGUUAGAAGUGCGGAGGAGUCCUGAAGCCUCGAAAAAGAGGCUGGGCAGCCCGAAGAAAGGCCGGCAGAGCCCCGGGGCGCCCUUGAAAGCCAGGGCUGUCUCCUGCACUCGUCCGGAGAGAAAGUGGAAGAGGAGCCAAGCUGGAGGCGGCCAGCCAGGGGGAGAAUGGGAGGAAACUCGCCAGCCCUCUCCUACACCCCCGCCAUGCCAGCAGACCCUGGAGAGAAGCUCCGGAGCAAGCAGCAACCUCCUGAACCCAAGAAGUCACCAGGGGUCCUCUUCAAGAGCAAGAUUCAACACACAGGCAAACACGUAUCUCUAGAGAAGAAUUCAUGGCGGACACGAAGGGAAGAAUGGCCGGCCUCCUUUUGCUUGCAGACCCUCUCAGUUCCUUCCUGCUAGUCAGUCGCUUUUUGGGGCAUGAGUCCCUCGGCGUUGCAUCGUGGGUAAUAGUGGCCACUCACCGUCGAUCGUCCAACACUCUUUCUCCUGGCUCUGCUCACCUCCCUUUGCCUUACUUCAUAGGACUCCAGAUUUUGUGUGUGGUUAUUUUAUCAUUUCUAAUGGCACGUCAACUAGAAAAAACGCAGAACUAUUACAUAGUCAAAUCACUCUUUAAUGAAGGGACAAGGGGUCAGCGCUGCUAAUACGACCACAGAGCUGCUUCCCAAGACCAGCCCCUGGGAGUGCCACCGACUCAGGAUGGACUCCCAGGGACAAAAGAACUUGGGGAACCUCUAUACCACUCUAGGUGACCUGGGGGGUUAGGAUUAGAGGGACAGUGGAUUGACUUGACAAUGGUGAGAAAGGAAAAUGAGGAGUUCCCGACAGGAAUAAUAGUGAGGGGCUGAUGCCCUAUAAUGGACACAAAAGGGAAAGACUCAGCCCAGGGCUGGGCCACCUUGGUCAUGGACCUUAGCCUAGGGGGAGAAACCAUUGGGACCAAAGGGAUGCUUAACAUUGGAUGGGAUUCGCUGUUCCCACCCAAACUACCAGGAAGUUCUCUGGCUGGUGAAGAGGGACCUUCCCUCAGGGGGAAACCUCUCCUGGGACAAGGUCCAAACCUGGGGUUCUCUACUCAAACUAAGUAAACUGGGGAUCUCUAGAUUUCCGUGUGGACAGGCACGGUAGCAUUCCCUUGUCAUCAUAUAGGACUUGCUCAGCCAUUUCCCAACUGUUGGAUAUCCCUUCAGUUUCCAAUUCUUUGCCACCACUAAAAGGACUGCUGUAAAUGCCUUUGUACAAUGUAUUUUCCCCCAUAUUUGAUCUCUUUGGGAAACAGGCUAGUAGUGGCAUGAUACAAUAAUUUUACGUACUAUGUUGAAUGGACGUUAACUUUAUGUCGCCGUGAGCUGUUGAUUCAUUGCAUGCUAUCUGCUUACAAUUGCAGUGUCUUUGUAGAUUGAAAUUCUUCUUCACAACCUUGGCAGGCUUUCUUGUGUACUCUUGGAGUGGAUGGAGGAUCUUGAAACCAAUUUUCUCUGGUUUUAUCAUUUUUCAGUCUAACGCAUAUUACCUUUAAAGCUUUCCUGGCAUAACUGGGGAAGAUCUAGGUUCCUCUGACUGAUUAUAAACAUGCCCAUCUUUUAUUUUUAUUUUUAAAAUUAACGUAUUUAUAUAUCACCAAUUACAUAUUAUAACAAUAUUCCAUACAAGUUUUCCUAAAUUAUAUAGAUCAAACUUAUCUCUCUCCUUCCCCUUCCCCCCUCCAGGUACUGGCAGACAAUUCCAUCUGUAUAACCCAUCUUUUAAAAAAACCCAUCAUUUGAUUCUACCCUACUCACAAGUGAUUUUCAUUUUCCUAUAUCUCACUUUCCUUUCAAAGCCACACUCGUAGAAAAAAAACCUUUCAAUAUGUCUAUUUCUUCUCCUCAUAAUCUCUCUGAGCCCUAACUUUGGUCUUUAUCAUUCAAGUCGUUCUUUCCAGGGAGUCUUGGAGAGUUUUUAGUUCAGUUUGGUUCAGAAAACAGCUAGUAGACUAUUAAACCUGGAAACUGCCUCAAUGGCAUCCCAGAAUCUUGAGUUUCCUUAGUAAAUCAGGCAGUUUCCCCUUCUGGGAAUUCAGUUUUUGGGUUAAAGAGGGAUUUGUUUUCUAAAUAUUAAUAAUGAUCAGUCAUAACGAUGGCAUUUUAUAGUUUAAAAAGUAUUUUCUGCCCCCAAAUCGUGCAGUCAUUAGACAAUCAUUACUAUCCCUGUUUGACCAAUGAGGUCACAGAACCCCAGAAGAGGCACAGACUUGCCUUAUAGGGUCAGGUAGUGUAGUUUAGUAGCCAGAACACUUGAUUCCAAGUCAGAGGACUUGGGUUCUCCUUGUUUCCUACUUGUUUGUGCUGUUCAUCUUUUGUUUUCCAGAGGGCCAGUGCUACAUCCUGGGCCUUGACUCACAUAAGAGUUGGAUCAAGGGAGGUGGAGUGGCUCCAAGUUGUCUGCUCUUUCUCUUUUCCAGAGCCAUCCACGUUCAAGCACAAGACAAAAGCCAAGAGGACUGGUGAUGGCAGGGUGGCAGUGGAUGACCCUGGUGUCUCCCAUGUCUAAUUCUUCAGCCGCCUUUUUUCUUAUCUACCCACUCUGUCCAGGGAAGUCUGCCCAUGCUUGGGCUAUUGUCUGGGGAAGUCUCCCCAUGUCUGAGGUCGACGCUCCGUAAUUUACAGAUGGGUUUGAGGCCUGUUGGUUACCCCCAACUUGAGUUCGCCCAUUUACCAAGAUGGUAGCUUCUUGGAGCCAUGGCUAAGAGUGGCGUGAUAAGUGGGCAUGGAAGGUGAAUGAGCAGCUGAAGAAGCUUGGCAGGCCCUCCCACCAGAGGUGCUAGUCCUCCCAGAACACCCCACACACCCACUCCACUAGCUGUGCACAAAUCACUGAACUGCUUCAACCUCAAUUUCUUUAUAUGAAAAAUGAGGAGGUUGCAUGAGACAAUAAUAGAGGUCCUUUCUAACUGGGUUUACUAAAAUACAAAUGUUUUUUAAAUCCUUACCUUAUGCCUUAGGAUCAAUAUUAUGUUUUGGUUCUCAGGCAGAAGAGUGGUAAGGGCUAGGCAAUGGGGGUCAAGUGACUUUCCCAGGGUCACACAGCUAGGAAGUGUCCAAGUGUCCGAGGUCAGAUUGGAACCCAGGACCGCCCAUCUCUAGGCCUGGCUCUCCAUCCACUGAGCUACCCAGCUGUCCCCAAAAUGAAAACUUUUAAAGGCAGCCAUAACAAAUACCAUCAAUAAGAUGCAACUGGUUGAUGUGAUAAAAAUGCGAGUACCUGCCAAUUAGUUGGCAAUCCUAGGUCUGAUUCUAUCAUGUCAUUGUUUGUACAGCUCAUUUGUACAAGAUUCUUUGCUUUGUUCUCUCUGCUGAGCUCCUCCAGGACAAGCACUGUUUUGCCUUUUUUGUAUCCCUAGGAUUCAGCUCAGGGCCUGGCUUCUGGUCAGUGCUUAAUACAUGUCAAUUGACCAGCGGAAAAGAAAAUCCUUCUCUUCAGACCUGCGAGGUACUCCCUAACCUCAGUCUUGGUCUCCUCCCCUCUUUUUUCACAUUUGAAAGUUCUGGAUUUGGGACUUUUGAUCUCCUCAUUUGUGUUCUGCUAUCAGCUCUAAGCCAGCAAAGACUGGUUGGGGAGAAUGUUUGCUUUGGGAGCCAAGAGCAUUUGAUUCAGUGAAGAAAGGGAGCAUCAAGACUACAAGAAGUGCAAAACCAUGGCCAAACCUUCCUCAAAAACUUCACGAGAACCACCUAACGGGAGAAAAGGCCUUUGGGCAGCGAAGAACCUUGUUGUGGGCUCUCUCAACUUUUUAUCCAUGCACCGUCUACUUUCCCCUGGAUUCUACGUGUGUUUGUGUGACAAAAACAAGUCUUUGGGGAGUAAAACACGUGGGGAGGGUUUGGUUGUAUAAUAUUUUAUAUCAGCUUUGCUUAUAAUAGCAUCUUAGUAAAAAGCUGGGGCAGGGUUAUGAUUAAAAGUAUCUCGAGAGACUGGAUUUGGGAUCAGAAUAGAAAUGUAUCGAUUACAUCGGGGCAGGCCAGCAUCCUAACGGAUAACCUGAUAGAGGUCUCCAUGGCUCUCUUGCCACGAGGUCAGGCAAGCUAAUCGAUAGAUUUUUAGGAGCUCAUUCAUUGAUCACCCCAAGACAUAAUUGGGGAUAGCUAAUUAAGAGGUAGUCUAUCAACUAUCUCUCCCAUUCCCAAAGGCGGACAGGUUAUGUAGGCCACAUAAGAACCCUGGUCCCCUUCAUUCAUUAACCAGAUUCUGUUGUUGGGAAGAAGACAUCCUUUGGGAUUCCCAAGCACAAAGAAACUGCAAAAAGUAGCAGACUGGAUGGUAUCGCUGACCCAGAUCCCAGAGGCAGGAAUACACAAUAAUUAACACAAUCUAUGAAAAAUAAGCUCUCACAAGUGGAUAGAGUGCUCGGGCUCGAGUUAGGGAGACACCAAUUCAAAUCCAGCCUCAGACACUUACUAGCUGGGCAAGUCACGUAACCCUCAUCUGUAAAAUGAGCUCGAAAAGGAAAUGGCACCCCACUGCAGUGUCCUUGCCAAGAACACCCGGAAUGGGGUCACAGAGAAUCGGACAAUUGAGACUACUGAACCACAAAAAUUAGAAGUUCCGUUUGGCUGCCCAAUUGGUGUCACCAGAAAUCGGGGCAGGAAAUGUGCUAUUGGGGCUCAUAAGCUGUAGUAUUAGAAAAUGACAUCCUGAGCCUAGUGGGCAGACAACCAAUAGCAAGGCCCUCCCCCCGGGAUCUGGCCUGCCCUCAAGAAGGAAGGUUCGAGAAGUCAUCUCACGGCUUAGAAGAGAAGUUAGGGAUGGAUGUAGGAAUCUGGGAGUCAUCUGCUGGGAGACCAUUGUUGAAUCGAUGAUGAUUGAUGAGAUCCCUCAGCAGAAGAAGGAGCAGGGUAGAACCUUGGGUGAUCGCAUUCAUCUCCUAGAUGAAGAUCCAGUACAAUAUGUCAAGUUCUGCAGAGAAGUCAUGAAGCAGAGGCUUGAGAAAGCACCUCUGGACCUAGCCAUUGGGAUUCUUGAUGACUUUGCAGGAAGAAUUUGGAAGUCAGAGUUCAGAAGAGUGAAUGAGAAGAGAGGAAGUGGAGAUACUGAGGGUGUUGUCUGAUAGAAUUAAAGGAUGGCAAUGUUUAGUGGCACAUAAAAACAAUGGCCAUAAUGGAGGGGGGCUCUAAAUAACCACGCCCAGCACAAAUUUUGGGGCGUUCCAGGAAGUACUGCAUAGAAGAGACUACAGCAUGGAGAAACAGCAAAGAGAGGCAGAACUGUGAACAGAAAGAGGUAACAGCUACAAGGAGCAUGACCGCAACAAUAAGCAGCAGAGCUGACUGGAUUCAAGAGAGAGCUAGAUAUGUAGCACCUAUCUAAACCAUCAGCAAAACUCACUAUUUGACAAAAACUGCUGUGAAAAUUGGAAUACAGUGUGGCCAAAAUUAGGUUUAGAUUAAUAUCUCACAUCCUAUAUCAAGAUAAGUUCAAAAUGGGUAUAUGAUUUAAACAGAGAGUGAUAUUGUAAGUAAAUUAGGGGAAUAUAGAAUAAUUUGCUUGUCAGAUCUAUGGAGAAGGGAAGAAUUUAUGACCAAACAAGAGAUAGAGAAUGUUACUAGAUGUAAAAUGAAUAACUUUGAUUAUAUUUAAUUUAAAAGGUUUUGUACAAACAAAGCCAAUGCAACCAAGAUUAGAAGGGAAGCAAUAAACUGGACAAAAAUGUUUAUAACAAGUUUCUCUGACAGAGAUCUAAUUUCUCAAAUAUGUAAAUUACAAUUAAGUCAAAUUUAUAAGAAACCAAUCCAUUCCCCAAUUGACAAAGGGUCGAAAUAGGGAGAAAUCAAAGCUAUCGAUAUUCAUAUAAAAAAUGUUCUAGAUCCCUCUUGAUUAGAAAAA